CUGCAGAAAUCAAUGGGGGAAACUGGCACUGCCUGGCUCCCUGUAUGCCACUUGCGAAUUUUGGCAAAACUUGUGGCAGGGUACGUAGCUGCCAUACAGGGAGUCAGACAGACCUUGCAUCUUCCCGGAUUCUCAUGA
rnacentral:pre_miRNA from 1 species